rnacentral:rRNA from 1 species
GUUAAGCGACUAAGCGUACACGGUGGAUGCCCUGGCAGUCAGAGGCGAUGAAGGACGUGCUAAUCUGCGAUAAGCGUCGGUAAGGUGAUAUGAACCGUUAUAACCGGCGAUUUCCGAAUGGGGAAACCCAGUGUGUUUCGACACACUAUCAUUAACUGAAUCCAUAGGUUAAUGAGGCGAACCGGGGGAACUGAAACAUCUAAGUACCCCGAGGAAAAGAAAUCAACCGAGAUUCCCCCAGUAGCGGCGAGCGAACGGGGAGCAGCCCAGAGCCUGAAUCAGUGUGUGUGUUAGUGGAAGCGUCUGGAAAGGCGCGCGAUACAGGGUGACAGCCCCGUACACAAAAAUGCACAUGCUGUGAGCUCGAUGAGUAGGGCGGGACACGUGGUAUCCUGUCUGAAUAUGGGGGGACCAUCCUCCAAGGCUAAAUACUCCUGACUGACCGAUAGUGAACCAGUACCGUGAGGGAAAGGCGAAAAGAACCCCGGCGAGGGGAGUGAAAAAGAACCUGAAACCGUGUACGUACAAGCAGUGGGAGCACGCUUAGGCGUGUGACUGCGUACCUUUUGUAUAAUGGGUCAGCGACUUAUAUUCUGUAGCAAGGUUAACCGAAUAGGGGAGCCGAAGGGAAACCGAGUCUUAACUGGGCGUUAAGUUGCAGGGUAUAGACCCGAAACCCGGUGAUCUAGCCAUGGGCAGGUUGAAGGUUGGGUAACACUAACUGGAGGACCGAACCGACUAAUGUUGAAAAAUUAGCGGAUGACUUGUGGCUGGGGGUGAAAGGCCAAUCAAACCGGGAGAUAGCUGGUUCUCCCCGAAAGCUAUUUAGGUAGCGCCUCGUGAAUUCAUCUCCGGGGGUAGAGCACUGUUUCGGCAAGGGGGUCAUCCCGACUUACCAACCCGAUGCAAACUGCGAAUACCGGAGAAUGUUAUCACGGGAGACACACGGCGGGUGCUAACGUCCGUCGUGAAGAGGGAAACAACCCAGACCGCCAGCUAAGGUCCCAAAGUCAUGGUUAAGUGGGAAACGAUGUGGGAAGGCCCAGACAGCCAGGAUGUUGGCUUAGAAGCAGCCAUCAUUUAAAGAAAGCGUAAUAGCUCACUGGUCGAGUCGGCCUGCGCGGAAGAUGUAACGGGGCUAAACCAUGCACCGAAGCUGCGGCAGCGACGCUGAUGCGUUGUUGGGUAGGGGAGCGUUCUGUAAGCCUGUGAAGGUGUACUGUGAGGUAUGCUGGAGGUAUCAGAAGUGCGAAUGCUGACAUAAGUAACGAUAAAGCGGGUGAAAAGCCCGCUCGCCGGAAGACCAAGGGUUCCUGUCCAACGUUAAUCGGGGCAGGGUGAGUCGACCCCUAAGGCGAGGCCGAAAGGCGUAGUCGAUGGGAAACAGGUUAAUAUUCCUGUACUUGGUGUUACUGCGAAGGGGGGACGGAGAAGGCUAUGUUGGCCGGGCGACGGUUGUCCCGGUUUAAGCGUGUAGGCUGGUUUUCCAGGCAAAUCCGGAAAAUCAAGGCUGAGGCGUGAUGACGAGGCACUACGGUGCUGAAGCAACAAAUGCCCUGCUUCCAGGAAAAGCCUCUAAGCAUCAGGUAACAUCAAAUCGUACCCCAAACCGACACAGGUGGUCAGGUAGAGAAUACCAAGGCGCUUGAGAGAACUCGGGUGAAGGAACUAGGCAAAAUGGUGCCGUAACUUCGGGAGAAGGCACGCUGAUAUGUAGGUGAAGUCCCUUGCGGAUGGAGCUGAAAUCAGUCGAAGAUACCAGCUGGCUGCAACUGUUUAUUAAAAACACAGCACUGUGCAAACACGAAAGUGGACGUAUACGGUGUGACGCCUGCCCGGUGCCGGAAGGUUAAUUGAUGGGGUCAGCGCAAGCGAAGCUCUUGAUCGAAGCCCCGGUAAACGGCGGCCGUAACUAUAACGGUCCUAAGGUAGCGAAAUUCCUUGUCGGGUAAGUUCCGACCUGCACGAAUGGCGUAAUGAUGGCCAGGCUGUCUCCACCCGAGACUCAGUGAAAUUGAACUCGCUGUGAAGAUGCAGUGUACCCGCGGCAAGACGGAAAGACCCCGUGAACCUUUACUAUAGCUUGACACUGAACAUUGAGCCUUGAUGUGUAGGAUAGGUGGGAGGCUUUGAAGUGUGGACGCCAGUCUGCAUGGAGCCGACCUUGAAAUACCACCCUUUAAUGUUUGAUGUUCUAACGUUGACCCGUAAUCCGGGUUGCGGACAGUGUCUGGUGGGUAGUUUGACUGGGGCGGUCUCCUCCUAAAGAGUAACGGAGGAGCACGAAGGUUGGCUAAUCCUGGUCGGACAUCAGGAGGUUAGUGCAAUGGCAUAAGCCAGCUUGACUGCGAGCGUGACGGCGCGAGCAGGUGCGAAAGCAGGUCAUAGUGAUCCGGUGGUUCUGAAUGGAAGGGCCAUCGCUCAACGGAUAAAAGGUACUCCGGGGAUAACAGGCUGAUACCGCCCAAGAGUUCAUAUCGACGGCGGUGUUUGGCACCUCGAUGUCGGCUCAUCACAUCCUGGGGCUGAAGUAGGUCCCAAGGGUAUGGCUGUUCGCCAUUUAAAGUGGUACGCGAGCUGGGUUUAGAACGUCGUGAGACAGUUCGGUCCCUAUCUGCCGUGGGCGCUGGAGAACUGAGGGGGGCUGCUCCUAGUACGAGAGGACCGGAGUGGACGCAUCACUGGUGUUCGGGUUGUCAUGCCAAUGGCACUGCCCGGUAGCUAAAUGCGGAAGAGAUAAGUGCUGAAAGCAUCUAAGCACGAAACUUGCCCCGAGAUGAGUUCUCCCUGACUCCUUGAGAGUCCUGAAGGAACGUUGAAGACGACGACGUUGAUAGGCCGGGUGUGUAAGCGCAGCGAUGCGUUGAGCUAACCGGUACUAAUGAACCGUGAGGCUUAACCUUACAACGCCGAAGGUGUUU